rnacentral:rRNA from 1 species
AGUGAACGCUGGCGGUAGGCCUAACACAUGCAAGUCGAACGGCAGCACAGUAAGAGCUUGCUCUUACGGGUGGCGAGUGGCGGACGGGUGAGGAAUACAUCGGAAUCUACUUUUUCGUGGGGGAUAACGUAGGGAAACUUACGCUAAUACCGCAUACGACCUACGGGUGAAAGCAGGGGAUCUUCGGACCUUGCGCGAUUGAAUGAGCCGAUGUCGGAUUAGCUAGUUGGCGGGGUAAAGGCCCACCAAGGCGACGAUCCGUAGCUGGUCUGAGAGGAUGAUCAGGCAACACGGAAACUGAGACAGGUCCAAAACUCCAAGGGGGGGAGACAUGGGGAAAUUUUGGCAAUUGGGGGAAGCCUGAUCCAGCCAAACCGCGUGGGUGAAGAAGGGCUUCCGGUUUGAAAACCCCUUUUUUGGGGAAGAAAAAGAAGCAGGUUAAUCCCCCGCGUUUUGAACGGAACCAAAAAAAAAAGCACGGCUAAAUUCGGG